UUUGAAAUUUAUUAAUUUCAAAGUAGAUUUCAUAUUAUAGUCUUUUUAAGCUUAUAAAAUGGGAAAUGAGGGAUAUAAAUGUAUUGUUAAAAAUUGUAAUGAUAAAACCUCCAAAAUUAAUAAAACAAUAAAAUUUCAUUAAAUUCCAAAGAAUAAAAAAAUGUGUACGAUUUGGCUAAAAAACUGCAAUCGCGUAGACUUGAGUGUUAAAAGUCCUCUGAGCCUAAGUAAGACAUUCAGAGUAUGUGGCACUCGUUUUGAGAAGAAAAUGUACUUCACUGAAAAACUUUUGUUACAUAGUGCUGUACCCACUAUAUUUUCAACAGCAACAACAAGUCCAAUUGCAUCGACUAGUACGACGACAUCUAGUACUUUAUGCCUUAUUGGCUUUGGUUCUUAUUUUAACUCAAUUUUUAUUGUACCUUAUUCAACCUGGUACAACUGCAACAAAAUCGGAGACAUUUCUCCGGAGACUGCCUAGAGAGCAGGUAAAUAAAACUAUCAAUACAAUAUUAUUAUCUUUUUGACGAUCAUUGAAAUCGUUGAAUUAAUUUUUAUAUUUGUUCUGCUUGACUAUGUCAUCUGUAGAGAGCGAUAUUUGCUUCAUGCGUAUUAGGCCGACGUUGUACUUUUUAGUACAAAAUUUCCAAUCGGAAAUCGUUUAAGUAACUACUGGCCUAUGAAAUGUUGAAUACACUGUAUAAUGCGUGGCUUUAUACAAAUAAAAACAACUCGAACUUUAAAUUAUUGUACUUACGAUUACUGUUAUCAAAGUCUGUUGCCAAUAUAACAUACAUAGAAUUCUUCACUCGUUAUUUGGAUAGCCGAAAGUUUUCCAUGACGAUUUCCAUUUUAAAAUGUUGCUAUU